AUUGAACGCUGGCGGCAGGCCUAACACAUGCAAGUCGAACGGUAACAGGAAGCAGCUUGCUGCUUUGCUGACGAGUGGCGGACGGGUGAGUAAUGUCUGGGAAACUUCCUGAUGGAGGGGGAUAACUACUGGAAACGGUAGCUAAUACCGCAUAACGUCGCAAGACCAAAGAGGGGGACCUUAGGGCCUCUUGCCAUCGGAUGUGCCCAGAUGGGAUUAGCUAGUAGGUGGGGUAACGGCUCACCUAGGCGACGAUCCCUAGCUGGUCUGAGAGGAUGACCAGCCACACUGGAACUGAGACACGGUCCAGACUCCUACGGGAGGCAGCAGUGGGGAAUAUUGCACAAUGGGCGCAAGCCUGAUGCAGCCAUGCCGCGUGUAUGAAGAAGGCCUUCGGGUUGUAAAGUACUUUCAGCGGGGAGGAAGGGAGUAAAGUUAAUACCUUUGCUCAUUGACGUUACCCGCAGAAGAAGCACCGGCUAACUCCGUG
rnacentral:rRNA from 1 species